rnacentral:rRNA from 1 species
AACACGACUCUCGGCAAUGGAUAUCUCGGCUCUCGCAUCCGAUGAAGAGCGCAGCGAAAUGCGAUACGUGGUGCGAAUUGCAGAAUCCCGCGAAC